UACGGAGGGUGCAAGCGUUGUUCGGAAUCACUGGGCGUAAAGGGCGUGUAGGCGGUCCGCUAAGUCUGUUGUGAAAGCCCGGGGCUCACCCCCGGAAGGGCAUUGGAAACUGGCGGACUCGAGUCCCGGAGAGGAAGGUGGAAUUCCUGGUGUAGCGGUGAAAUGCGUAGAUAUCAGGAGGAACACCUAUUGCGAAGGCAGCUCGCUGGGACGUAACUGACGCUGAGACGCGAAAGCGUGGGGAGCAAACAGG
rnacentral:rRNA from 1 species